rnacentral:lncRNA from 1 species
AUGAAUGUUCCAACGAUAUGUUUUAACUUAAAUAAAAUACAUCACAGUGUUGAGAAAGCAUUAAGAACAUUUAUGACGUGUUAUUCAUGUCAUGACGUUGACGAUCCACGAACAUGGAAAACGGUUUGCUUAAAAUGCAAUCAAGCUCGCGACAUUACAAGGCCAAUAACGUGUUGUUUUUAGAUUUUAAUAGUUUUCAGAAGUAGCUUUUCGCAUUGGUAUCUAUGGGGCCUAUUCAGGGUUUUGCUGAAGGUUUAGGAUUGUGAGGGUUAAACGUCUUCUGAUUCAGUCAGCUUCCAAAAUUAGAAGUGGCCCUGCGGGUCGCAAUGUGAAAAGUUGAAUCUGAUAGUUCGCUAGUAAUUGAUUUUUUCUAUGUACGUAUAUAGUGUAUUUGUCUAACAUUUAGGGAUCGCAGUAAUUGGCGCAAGCUGUUGCGAAUGUCCUGCCAGUUUUUGUGUUAACGUUAAUUGUUUGAAUCUGGCAAAGUUAAUAAAUU